UAUUACUCAUUCCAUUUAUUUCGCACAUGGUUUUUGGCUAUAUAAUUGACCUUUCGUAAGACAGAGAAGGAAGAAAAUCUCGAUACCUAGUGAAAAUACGAUGCUGAUGGAAAACAUACGAAAAUUCGUUUUGGAUUAUCUUUGGAGAUAUAAUCCUCAUAAUGAAAUGUGUAGAUACCGCAAUAUGUAUGAGACAAACAAUCGUUGGCGUUUUUAUCAUUUUAACUUCCAAAGAAGUAACGUUAGUUUGAAAAAUAAAAAUAAAACAACUUUGUUUACCUUUAAUACUUCGAUAUAAAAGCUUAUUUAAAAA